rnacentral:tRNA from 1 species
UCCGGCGUAGCUCAACGGCAGAGCAAUCGGCUGUUAACCGAUAGGUUGUAGGUUCGAAUCCUACCGCCGGAGCCA